CGAGCGAACGGACGAGAAGCUUGCUUCUCUGAUGUUAGCGGCGGACGGGUGAGUAACACGUGGAUAACCUACCUAUAAGACUGGGAUAACUUCGGGAAACCGGAGCUAAUACCGGAUAAUAUUUUGAACCGCAUGGUUCAAAAGUGAAAGACGGUCUUGCUGUCACUUAUAGAUGGAUCCGCGCUGCAUUAGCUAGUUGGUAAGGUAACGGCUUACCAAGGCAACGAUGCAUAGCCGACCUGAGAGGGUGAUCGGCCACACUGGAACUGAGACACGGUCCAGACUCCUACGGGAGGCAGCAGUAGGGAAUCUUCCGCAAUGGGCGAAAGCCUGACGGAGCAACGCCGCGUGAGUGAUGAAGGUCUUCGGAUCGUAAAACUCUGUUAUUAGGGAAGAACAUAUGUGUAAGUAACUGUGCACAUCUUGACGGUACCUAAUCAGAAAGCCACGGCUAACUACGUGCCAGCAGCCGCGGUAAUACGUAGGUGGCAAGCGUUAUCCGGAAUUAUUGGGCGUAAAGCGCGCGUAGGCGGUUUUUUAAGUCUGAUGUGAAAGCCCACGGCUCAAUCCGUGGAGGGUCAUUGGAAACUGGAAAACUUGAGUGCAGAAGAGGAAAGUGGAAUUCCAUGUGUAGCGGUGAAAUGCGCAGAGAUAUGGAGGAACACCAGUGGCGAAGGCGACUUUCUGGUCUGUAAC
rnacentral:rRNA from 1 species